ensembl:vault_RNA Vault Vault RNA
GGGCCGGCUUUAGCUCAGCGGUUCCUUCGACACUGUCAUGCGACUCACUUCUGAUCGUCUCUUCAGGGGUUCUAAUCCCGGGAUGAUCCGAGACCCGCGGGCGCUUCCCGGCCUUCUU